CGCAGUCCGCACUAUCGAUAUCAACAAAGCUACGUCUGUAGCAAAACAGACCUACACAACACUAUUCAAAAUGAACGACAUAAUCGAUAACAACAAACUGUCGGAACUUCUAACAAAUGAACAACACUAACAGCUGUAACACAAGAAAAUGUAAACAACAAAGAUCGGGUCCGGGGUUCCGGACCCAGCGUACCCGUCCUACCUGAGACGAUCACCUGAUCUCGUCUCCCUCAUUUUGGCCACUUGAUGGCCUGCAUCAGCCCGUGUCGGCAGUUAUGCCCACUCUCCCCAUAAAUUUAACCUUAGCCGGACAUUCUUUUCCUUCAAUUGCAUUGAUCUUUGCAGCUAUUUACAAUCUCACGCGGAUAUUUCCCUCAACUUUGUAAUAAUAAUUAUGUAGAAUAUGUAUUAAUUCCAAAAAAUUACAAUUUAUAGCCGAACAACACAAAGAAGGGGAAUGACAUCACUGAAAGUUAUGGCCAAUUGCCGCCGGGAACAACGUUGGAGAACGAAUUUAUAAAACUUAAUUGAGCGAUUGGCUCCCCCACACACUCAUGCCGUAUAUACGCAUGUAUAACCACGUUGAAAAAAAAUGCCUACCUAAAGAGCCAGACCCAGAGAGAUUGCUAAGGAUUCCCCUGGCACCAGCCGUAACCUUUUGGUCGUCUCUUUCGAUGCAACCUCGGCAAUGUAUGUAUUCCUUUUUUUUCUUUUAGUUAAAUUUUAGAUUGCACAGUAGGCAACAAAAACUAACUGAUCUUAAUUAUGUAAAAAUUUCUUAUUCUUAUCUUUGACCAACUAAAAUGGGACCGAGUUGGACUGCCCCUCGGUUUCACUGGGCCCUGCCUCUAGAGGGUGGCAAAACGCUCUCGGACUCACUCGAUACAAUGGGCGUGGUCUCGCCUGUGUCAGCUUCCUCUCCAGGUCGACUCGGUGUCGGCGACGGGGCGAAGAGACGUUGGCAGUCGCCGACGUGCCUUCUAAUGCGGAUCCCUCUCGCGUCGAUGAUAUUGGCCAGGCCACAGAUAACGGCUUGUGAGGCGGGAGAACCACCCGGCCGUCCUCUGCGUGGCUCCUUGGCUGGCUCUUUGAUGUUUAUUAUUUUAUGUUAUUUUUAUCUUGUUUGAUUAUCU